rnacentral:rRNA from 1 species
CAAGUCGAGCGGCAGCGGAAAGUAGCUUGCUACUUUGCCGGCGAGCGGCGGACGGGUGAGUAAUGUCUGGGAAACUGCCCGAUGGAGGGGGAUAACUACUGGAAACGGUAGCUAAUACCGCAUAACGUCUUCGGACCAAAGUGGGGGACCUUCGGGCCUCACACCAUCGGAUGUGCCCAGAUGGGAUUAGCUAGUAGGUGAGGUAAUGGCUCACCUAGGCGACGAUCCCUAGCUGGUCUGAGAGGAUGACCAGCCACACUGGAACUGAGACACGGUCCAGACUCCUACGGGAGGCAGCAGUGGGGAAUAUUGCACAAUGGGCGCAAGCCUGAUGCAGCCAUGCCGCGUGUGUGAAGAAGGCCUUCGGGUUGUAAAGCACUUUCAGCGAGGAGGAAGGCAGUCGUGUUAAUAGCACGAUUGAUUGACGUUACUCGCAGAAGAAGCACCGGCUAACUCCGUGCCAGCAGCCGCGGUAAUACGGAGGGUGCAAGCGUUAAUCGGAAUUACUGGGCGUAAAGCGCACGCAGGCGGUUUGUUAAGUCAGAUGUGAAAUCCCCGCGCUUAACGUGGGAACUGCAUUUGAAACUGGCAAGCUAGAGUCUUGUAGAGGGGGGUAGAAUUCCAGGUGUAGCGGUGAAAUGCGUAGAGA